rnacentral:rRNA from 1 species
AACUAUACGGUGAAACUGCGAAUGGCUCAUUAAAUCAGUUAUCGUUUAUUUGAUAGUACCUUACUACUUGGAUAACCGUGGUAAUUCUAGAGCUAAUACAUGCUAAAAACCCCAACUUCGGAAGGGGUGUAUUUAUUAGAUAAAAAACCAACGCCCUUCGGGGCUCCUUGGUGAUUCAUAAUAACUAAACGAAUCGCAUGGCCUUGCGCCGGCGAUGGUUCAUUCAAAUUUCUGCCCUAUCAACUUUCGAUGGUAGGAUAGUGGCCUACCAUGGUAUCAACGGGUAACGGGGAAUUAGGGUUCUAUUCCGGAGAGGGAGCCUGAGAAACGGCUACCACAUCCAAGGAAGGCAGCAGGCGCGCAAAUUACCCAAUCCCGACACGGGGAGGUAGUGACAAUAAAUACUGAUACAGGGCUCUUUUGGGUCUUGUAAUUGGAAUGAGUACAAUUUAAAUCCCUUAACGAGGAACAAUUGGAGGGCAAGUCUGGUGCCAGCAGCCGCGGUAAUUCCAGCUCCAAUAGCGUAUAUUAAAGUUGUUGCAGUUAAAAAGCUCGUAGUUGAACCUUGGGCCUGGCUGGCCGGUCCGCCUCACCGCGUGUACUGGUCCGGCCGGGCCUUUCCUUCUGGGGAGCCGCAUGCCCUUCACUGGGCGUGUCGGGGAACCAGGACUUUUACUUUGAAAAAAUUAGAGUGUUCAAAGCAGGCCUUUGCUCGAAUACAUUAGCAUGGAAUAAUAGAAUAGGACGUGCGGUUCUAUUUUGUUGGUUUCUAGGACCGCCGUAAUGAUUAAUAGGGAUAGUCGGGGGCAUCAGUAUUCAAUUGUCAGAGGUGAAAUUCUUGGAUUUAUUGAAGACUAACUACUGCGAAAGCAUUUGCCAAGGAUGUUUUCAUUAAUCAGUGAACGAAAGUUAGGGGAUCGAAGACGAUCAGAUACCGUCGUAGUCUUAACCAUAAACUAUGCCGACUAGGGAUCGGGCGAUGUUAUCAUUUUGACUCGCUCGGCACCUUACGAGAAAUCAAAGUCUUU